rnacentral:rRNA from 1 species
AGAAUGAACGUUGGCGGCGUGGAUUAGGCAUGCAAGUCGCGCGAUUGCCUUCGGGCAAGAGCGGCGGAAGGGAGAGUAACGCGUAGAUACCUACCCUCGGGACCGGAAUAGCGACGGGAAACUGUCGGUAAUGCCGGAUAACGUCCCUGGACCAAAGGUGUGAAUCCGCCUGAGGAGGGGUCUGCGUCCUAUUAGCUAGUCGGCGGGUAACGCCCACCGAGGCGAAGAUGGGUACCGGGCGUGAGAGCGUGACCCGGCUCACUGGGACUGAGACACUGCCCAGACACCUACGGGUGGCUGCAGUCGAGAAUCUUCGGCAAUGAGCGCAAGCUUGACCGAGCGACGCGCGUGCGGGAUGAAGGUCUUUCGGGUUGUAAACCGCUGUCAGGUGGGAGGAAAGUUCGUUCGGGGGUACUCCCCGUUGAUUGACCGAUCCGCAGAGGAAGGACGGCUAAGUCGUGCCAGCAGCCGC